UACGUAGGUGGCGAGCGUUGUCCGGAUUUAUUGGGUUUAAAGGGUGCGUAGGCGGCCCUAUAAGUCAGUGGUGAAAUAUCGCAGCUUAACUGUGAGGGUGCCAUUGAUACUGUAGGGCUUGAGUGAAUUUGAGGUAGACGGAAUUGACGGUGUAGCGGUGAAAUGCUUAGAUAUCGUCAAGAACACCGAUAGUGAAGACAGCUUACCAAGCUUCAACUGACGCUGAGGCACGAAAGUGUGGGGAUCAAACAGG
rnacentral:rRNA from 1 species